AGAAAGAGGUGUAAGUGACACAAACGGUGAAACAUCGUUCGCAGCCUCGUGAAUCAACAAGGAUUAUCCCCGUUUAAAAAUUAAAUUACAACAUAUACGCUGUGCGCUGUGAAAAAAAAACAACUUGAGGUAAUGUGAAAUAUUUCAAGUUAUCGUGUGAUAAUCGUAGAGGUUUUUCUUUCGAAGAAGAGAGAAAGAAAAAAAGAAAACGGGGAAGAACGAGAGAUAAUCCUUAUCUAGGCAAACGAUCGACAUAAAUCGUGAUAAAUCAGACGAUAUUCGUCCCAUAUUUUUACAUGUAUCGAUAGAGUGGGCAGAUCACUUGGGACACUUCCUUAUUAUUUAGUCCAACAGCAUACUACGUCGCAUGGAACUGCUGAGACUGCGACAGCUUGUUGGCGCUUUUGUGAUGGCUGGACGUGUGUCUUUCCUGAAAAUGACAAAUAAAGAUGUGAUGUUUGCUCUAUGAAAUAAUGGAGGAUGAUUGAAAAUUCGCUAAUACUUCAUAAAGGUCAUGCUGACUUAUGGGACCUUAGGUGGACAAUACUGAAUCUAAUCUUGAAGAGAAACAAAAGUUAAGUAAAAGGUUUCCAAACACACUAAUUGCAUAAUUGAGUUGACAUUGUUACGAUACCAACAAAUUGAUGUCGAAUUGAUGAUAGUUUUAUUACGACGGAAUUAAAAUAUUGAAAUGAAAUGCCAACUAAGGUUCUAUGGAAUAUGCUACAUGUACAAAAAGGAGUGAGAAAAUAGACAGAAGCAGUUAUAUGUAAUAAAAAGUAAUAUACAAUAGUGUCACAUGCUACUAUUUCUACCAAACUAUUUCAUAAACUUGAAGAGAAAAGAAAAUAUUAAUAGCGUUUUCGCUUGACUUUGGAUAGCUCUGAAAAUGAUUAACGAUCAGUAACAGUCUCGCGUAAGGUCUCAACUCGCAAAUAUAAAAAAAAUAUAUAUGUACACGUAUAUGUAUAUAUAUACAUUUUUUAAAUGUAUAUCUCUUUAUUAUAUAUUUCUUCAGUCCAAUAAAAAUUUAUACAAAAAUUAAUUGCUUCCAGAGCAAUUCACUUAUUGUUAGUCGAAAAUGCUAAAAGAAAAAAAAAGUAUCGUUCAGAGAUCGCGGGGGACUUUUUUUACCUUUGCAAAAUAAAUAUUCGCAUUAUUUUAACAUAAACAUCCCCGUAUAAAUAUCUUCAUUAAUUUCAAAAAAAUGGGAGAAAAUUGUUCAUAGUAUAAGAUAGAAGGCACAUCGACAUGAUGAUGAAAAAUCA
rnacentral:lncRNA from 1 species